AGGAGCCGCGGUAAUUCCAGCUCCAAUAGCGUAUAUUAAAGUUGUUGCAGUUAAAAAGCUCGUAGUUGAAUUUCGGGGUUAGUAGGUUGGUCAUGCCUCUGGUAUGUACUGGUCUCACUGAUUCCUCCUUCCUGAUGAGCCGUAAUGCCAUUAAUUUGGUGUUGCGGGGAAUUUGGACUGUUACUUUGAAAAAAUUAGAGUGUUUAAAGCAAGCUAACGCUUGAAUACAUUAGCAUGGAAUAAUGAAAUAGGACGUUCGAUCCUAUUUUGUUGGUUUCUAGGAUUGACGUAAUGAUUAAUAGGGAUAGUUGGGGGCAUUAGUAUUCAAUUGUCAGAGGUGAAAUUCUUGGAUUUAUUGAAGACUAACUACUGCGAAAGCAUUUGCCAAGGAUGUUUUCAUUAAUCAAGAACGAAAGUUAGGGGAUCGAAGACGAUCAGAUACCGUCGUAGUCUUAACCAUAAACUAUGCCGACUAGGGAUCGGAUGAUGUUAAUUUUUUAAUGACUCA
rnacentral:rRNA from 1 species